rnacentral:lncRNA from 1 species
UUGUAUCUAUUGUAAAAGAUUGUUAGAGAGAACAAAAGCGUGUUAAGUGUUAAAAGAUUGUUCCAAUUUGCAAGUUUUUACAGGAAAACUGGAUCCAAAAGUGUUCCGGAAAUUUUUUUAUUUAAGUGAUCCGGUUUGUGACUUUGAACAAAGGUAGGGGUGAAGUCAAAUAAUAAAAGGGUAAAAUAGGAAUAUUAAAUUAUUUGUAGGGGUACAAGGUUAAAUGUAGGGGUAGAAAAAAAAAUUCUCACAUUUGGUGUGGUUAUCCAACAAAAAAUAAAAAAUAUUUGUUGUGGACUUGUGGUUAUUAAAUAUGAUAAUUGCUUUUGUCAAAAAAAAUAAUAAAAUGAUAAUUGCUCUUCUC